rnacentral:rRNA from 1 species
UGGCGGCGUGCUAAUACAUGCAAGUCGAGCGGACCUCUUCGGAGGUCAGCGGCGGACGGGUGAGUAACACGUGGGCAACCUGCCUGUAAGACUGGGAUAACUCCGGGAAACCGGAGCUAAUACCGGAUAUUAUUUCAAACCGCAUGGUUUGAAAUUCAAAGACGGUUUCGGCUGUCACUUACAGAUGGGCCCGCGGCGCAUUAGCUAGUUGGUGAGGUAAUGGCUCACCAAGGCAACGAUGCGUAGCCGACCUGAGAGGGUGAUCGGCCACACUGGGACUGAGACACGGCCCAGACUCCUACGGGAGGCAGCAGUAGGGAAUCUUCCGCAAUGGACGAAAGUCUGACGGAGCAACGCCGCGUGAGUGAUGAAGGUUUUCGGAUCGUAAAACUCUGUUGUCAGGGAAGAACAAGUGCCGGAGUAACUGCCGGCGCCUUGACGGUACCUGACCAGAAAGCCACGGCUAACUACGUGCCAGCAGCCGCGGUAAUGCGUAGGUGGCAAGCGUUGUCCGGAAUUAUUGGGCGUAAAGCGCGCGCAGGCGGUUUCUUAAGGUCUGAUGUGAAAGCCCCCGGCUCAACCGGGGAGGGUCAUUGGAAAACUGGGAAACUUGAGUGCAGAAGAGGAGAGU